UACAAAUGCUCUGCUUGUGUGUAUAUAUAUAUAUAUAAAACCUAUACAAAUGCUACAGACAUAAUUUUGAUUUUUCAUCCUUUUCCUUACAUAAACAGCAUCUCUUACCAGAGGAAGAUGCUUCCUCGUCUCCAGUAACACAAAGCAGUUUCCAGUUUGAGGGAGAAGAUGGGAAUGGGAAGAAAAGAGAACUGAUGGUGCUCAUGCCUGUUUUUGGAAUGAUGCUGCAACACCCUGACCAUGACCGAUUGCUGGGAGAGUGACAGAUAAAUGAGGUGCAAGAGUGUUAUUUGCCAUGGGAUUCCUUCUUUGACUGUUUAAACUCUUUUUUUAAAACAGCAUAAUUUCUUUCUUAGAUCACCAUGAAACUGAGAGAACACAGACCGGCAUUUUACAGCAGACCCCUUGAUACAGCAGUGCUGAAUAUUGGCUGAUACUUCAGACAAAGGAAAUGAAUCCAGUAGAAAACAAGCAUCCUUCCUCCCCAGAAGGAGGUGUGGGAAUGUGAUUGCUGCAGAAGUCACUGUCUCAUCAAGGAGGAAGAUGCACAGCCUGUCAGCUCCUCGCGAUCUGCUGGAAGCUAGGGUGUGGACAUUGGGACAGCAGCUGCGUCUUCCAACUGGAUCUUGGCUCUUCUCCAGGCAGGUACCCUGACCUCCACUGCAGAGCCAGUUCAGUUGGCUCACUUCACGUGAAGCUCAAAAUCUGUGUCAAAAAGGCACAACCAAGCCCCAGAGUGACUCUAAAAUACGGCUUUGGGCACCAUCCUACAAGGGGGAAGAAAUGGGUUCAGCUGCAUUUAGGCAGAAAAGAGGGCUGAAUCCAGCACAUCACACACCAUGGGCAAGGACUCUUAACUCUGGGUAUAAGAAUUCUCUCCAUUCUGGGUGGUGGUAGAAAGCAUCAGAACGUAGAUGAGCAUCAGAAAAUGCUCAUUUUCUCAGCUGGUCCAGUCAAGGAGGUUGGGGAAAGCCUACUUUCCAAAUCUCAGUGGGGUUUAGUUAUAGCUUAGAUGCGGCUAAUCCUUAGUUAUCUCUGCAUCUGCCUAAUAAUAAAAAGCAAAGGCACACAGCA
ensembl:lncRNA